UAGAGUAACAAGACACAACCUUGUUGAUCUAAAACAAUCUGGGAUGCUAAGAAAAAAGACGAUUCACACGGGAAAAGGUCUUACAUUUCCUUUUGUUGCUACUGAUGAAAAUGAUCUUCACUAAAGAAAAAGACCCAGACCCAUGGAUAGCAUCACCUGGAACUUUUUUUAGAAAAGCAGACUGGCAGGGAUCAGACUCUGCAUUGUAAAGAUUAAGCAGCACUGGGCCCCAACACAGAUGGGACUGUGGCCUACUGAGAGGUCUACAGACUACUGCCAGCAGGGACAAGGGGCCAUGAGGGCUCGAGUUUUCUCCUCCAAAUCUUGGUCGAUGGCAAAAAUGAUCUUGGCCCGCUCCUCUGCCUUCUUGUCUCCGGAGUUCCUGAAGAGCCUCUGCAGGGACUCCUGGUCUAUGUUCUCAAAGAUGUUGCCCACAGCUUUCUUGCGAGCAGCUGUGUCAAAGUGGUAGCCGUGGAUAGACGGGCUUACUCGAAGAGAUGAGGACAUGCUGGUGGCUUGGUGGCUUGGCUUGGCUUUCAUCGAUGUGGGUCUUCCGAUGUGGGUCUUCCGCUGCGGCUCAGCUUGGGCACUUCCAGGGGAGUCUGUUGUAAAAUCGUCCCAGGACGGCUAUUUAAAGUGUGAACAAAGCUCGGGACUCAAAUUACACUGGUGACGUCACAUUGAUCCCAGGGAGGAAAAACCACAGAACAUUAACAGUUGCCUUGCCAAAGAUCUGGCUCCGGAUGCUAGAGUGCAUUUCAAAGCUGUGUUUAGAGAUAGCUGGCCACAGGCUUGCCUCUUUACAUCCCAGACAGCAUUAUGCCUUACAAACUGGCGCUUCCUUCCAGAAGCUGAAACCAGGAGAGAGAAAAGGCUUUGAAUCUUUGCCUACAAUUGAAACAAGGAGUUCUGCCAAACUCAACAGUUUCAACUAGUACAAGAAUUUUAAAGUGUGGGCCAGACCCUGGCAGCCUAAGUUUGUGUGCCUUUUGCCUGCCCCUAUCAGGAUGAGGGUGAGGAAGUCAGGGAAAAAAAAGAAUAAUUGGGAGAACAGGACGUCUGACUCUAGUGCUAAAGUUUGCUGACAGAAUACUGACACAGCUCAGCCCGAAAGCACGAAUCUCUAACUGUAUCUGAGUGCUCUAUGUAAUUUCUGCUGGGAACUGCAAUUUAAACAGUAAUAGCAGCAGAUGGUAGCUCCCCAUCUUGUGUAGGUAUUGACAGCAAGGGCUAUCCAAAAUCGGGGAACAAAGGUUAAUGGAGGUACUGUGGGUACUUAAUGCCCACAAGGAAUGAGCUGACCUUUUGUUUUGAGGGCUACUUUGGAGUCACCCAGCAUUAUCAGAAUGAUGCUACCUUCAUUACACGUUUUUUUUUAAUCUAUUGCUUUUGUUAUCCACCAGACUCAGCUACCUACAGCUGCUCUAUGCUAAAUGUUACCUUCAUCUGACCUAGAGAUUCCUCUUUACCAGUCAAAUCUCUACUGUCCUUUCUGGUCCUCCAAGAAACUAGAAUGGACUUUUUUUAAUGUUAAUUCGUUUAUAGUGAAGAAAGUCACACACCUACAGCCCCAUCUGGCUUAGAGACAGGCCAGCAAGCUGCAGGACAGACUGAACUACACAGGAAUGCCCUGUCUCAAAAUUAAAAAAAAAAAAAAAAUGAAUAAAAUAG
ensembl:lincRNA Gm26714 predicted gene, 26714